UGCCCGCGGGACACGCGUGUUAGUGUCGCGGGUGCGGGGGCUGUGCGGGGGGCACCGGCGGUGCCGGGUGGGUUUGUUCCGAACAGACAGUAAAACCCGAUUCCCGCAGCGCCGAGCGGCGCCGGGGCGGACACGCGUCCCGCGUGGGGUCCCAUCGCGGCGCAGGCGUGGGCAGGGGGGGGUGUGUCCUGCCUCGUUCUGGGGCUGCCGGGCGGGGCUGAGGGUGCUGCCGGAGGUCAGCGCGACAGGAACCAGCAGCCGAGAACGAAUCAGGCAGUUAACGGUUAAGGGUACAGGUUAGCCACGUGGCCAAAAACCCAAAGCACAGUGUUGCAAAGGUUUAGGUGGUUAACUGAAGUCUAGUUAACUGGGUUACCUUAAAGCGCGUAACCUGAAUCUUGCACGUUCCAAAACCUUGCAAGUGUAAAACUUACCAUCCCGUUUGUCUCCUCUUGCGCUGUGUUUUGCAGUGGCUUGUUUCCUUUCCCCCCCACCGCCCGUGGCUGGAUGCGAGCGCUUUAAACAUAACGCGGGAAGCCCCGAACCUGUCCUGUGAGUCGCUGGGCGCUGCGAUGAGCCGAUGCGGCGCGCCGUCCGAGCCCAGCGCCGCCGGGGCCGCUGCUUGCGGACCCACCUCUUGCUGGAAACACUGCUCGCUUUCUCCUGCCAGGAUCCGCGAUUGCUGGUCUGCCAGGUAUCUGCCAACGUGGGUUUUCCAUCUUUUUCAUUGAUUUUCAGCGUGCUGCAGGAUGCAGAAUGGCAGAGAAAAACAAUCCGCGUUUAGGAGCAGAGGAGCUUGGCUGUGUUUAACUUAGCAGAGGCCUGAGUUUUAAUCCAGCAGGAGGCAUCACAAUUAAUCCUUCCUGCGGUGUCCACUAGGACAGCUUGAGAAACUUCAGCAGGUGCGUCCGGCCGCGUGUUUGCAGCUGCUGCUCGAGUGGAAACGGGGGGGACGUCGGGACCGUCGCUUCUGUCCCCAUCAGAACUGGGAGCAGUGGUGACUGAGAAGGAGCAAGAGGAAGCUCCUGGCACGGGGCAGAGAGCAAGAGGAGGAGAGGGUGCAGCGGGACCUGGGGAGGAUGAGCGAGCGACUGCACAGAGGAGCGAUAAUUACAUUCUGUGUCAUGUUGUGCGUGCAACGUGUUUGACAGCAUACCUGCCGGGGAAAAUAUCUGCUGCGAUGGAUUGAUGGCCCACACUGUGAUUUGUAAUACUUUGCUGAACAUCUUGAAAUACUUAUGUCAUGACUGAGGCUUUGGCUCUGCUGGACUCUCUGUACCUCUGGUCACGCAGACACACCAUUCAUUGUUCGUGGAACCGCUCCGUCCCCACAGGCCAAUUAGGCAGAGCUGCCGCCUCCUGAAGGACCGUGUGAAGCCACAUGUCUGGG